rnacentral:lncRNA from 1 species
CAAAAAAGGAAAUUUUUAUUCCAAUUUAUAUAAAGCAAAAACCCUAAAUGACAUAUACAUUAGUGUUGCACAUAUUGAAGUUCCACCAAGUCUAAGUGUCCAUUAACUGCUUUAAUCUGUUUGAAGCUCAAGUGAGUAGAUGUUCUAAUAGUUUCAGUCAGACCAUACAUAUGAAGUAAUAAAACAUUCUGCAAUCUUAAGUAUGAAAACUAAGCUUCAAAUUAUAGAAACACAUUUAAUCACUUUCCAAAUAACAUUUCUCCAUGAAAGAAUGAGUAGAGUACAAAGUAACUCUUAUUGCGUAGCUAAAUCUUUUGUUAAUCACUUUCCAAAUAACAUUUCUGCAGGAAAGAGUAGAGUACAAAGCAA